AUGGAGAAGAAAAAGGCACCGGCGGCGCGAUCCGCUCGCAAGGAGCGAAAGUCCCAUGGAGCCGCGCAGAAGCGGGCGCGGAGUGGCGACUGCGACGUGAACGCCGGCGAUUUCAUCAGCCGCCUCCCGGACGCUGUCAUCGGCACCAUCAUCUCUUUACUCCCCACCAAGGACGGCGGCCGCACGCAGAUCCUCUCCCGCCGAUGGCGCCACCUGUGGCGCUCUGCUCCUCUCAACCUCGAGGUCGUCACCGGGCCUCUCGGACCCUGUCCUGGGCACCAUCAUCCCUCCGUGGUCCACCACUCCGCCGUCUCCAAGAUAAUCUCCCAACACCUUGGCCCCGCCCGCCGAUUCUGCCUCAAGCACCUGAUCGACGGCGACCUCCCUGAGAUGGAGAGCUGGUUGGACUCCCGAGCCAUCGUCAACCUCCAGGAACUCGACAUCACCAAUUACGCUGGAUAUAAGACCGGCUAUACAUUGCCGCAAUCCGUGUUCCGCUCCGCAUCCACACUUCUCGUUGCCAAGAUAAUGGGUUGCAAUUUCCCGGACGCGAUCACACGCUCCAUGAAUUUCCUCCUUCUCAACCAGCUGUCCUUGGAUUGUGUUUCGAUCUCGGGGGAUGUGUUCCAUGGCUUGCUCUCCGGCUGCCAUGCCUUGGAGAGCUUAGCCAUGCUCGAAGUUCAUGCUGCUGGUUGCCUCCGUGUUAGCUCGCCAACUCUUAGGAGCAUUGGCUUCCGCAAAGGCUCUCGUCGAAAAGCCGAAUUGGUCCUCGAGGAUACCCCUCGGCUUGAAAGGUUAUUAUUACCGUAUUGUGACCGGAAUAAUUCUGUGACUAUCCGGGUUAUUUGGGCACCUAAACUGCAGAUAUUUGGACCUUUCUCAACAGGCGCGUGUGAACUCCGGGUCUUCCAGGGAAUGAGCCCCGUCAGCUCGACAAACUCGAUACGCACCGUGAAGGUUUUGGCCCUCGGGUGUUCUGAACAUCAAUUGGAUGCAGUUCUUGAUGUACUCAUGUGGUUCCCCUGUUUGGAAAAGCUCUAUGUCACAUUUCACGCACACUAUAGGACGUUUAAGCAAAAUGAGCAUCAGUGUGACCCACUACAUCCAGUGUGCCUUCAGACCCAUCUAAAGAGAGUGGUGUUUAGGUUAUUCAAAGGCUCUGAGCAACAGAUUGAGUUUGUCAUGUUCUUUAUUUUGUAUGCGAAAUUGCUAAAGAAAAUUGAAUUCCAAGUUUGUGGGGACUACUACAACAAUGAAUUUGUGGCUCGUCAACGCGCGCUGCUCAAAGUCGGAAACAGAGCUUCUCGAUAUGCUCAAUUUACAUUCAGGAAUACUAGUGGUUGUACUGAUGACCAUGUCACCAAGCAUAUCCACGAUUUGUCACUGCCUGACCCCUUCAGACUGCCUUAG
rnacentral:rRNA from 1 species